rnacentral:lncRNA from 1 species
GACCUUUCAUAGAUGGGUCGUAUUUCAAAAAGUAAGGUCAGAAAACGUGUUCUGGGCAGAAGGAGCUAGAGCAAUUGAUGACUUCAGAGACAUUGGCAGUGGGAGAUGACUAGAGUAUGGUAUGGAGAGUGGACAGAGCUGAAGCAUAGCUCCAAAUGUGAAGCAUUGAAACAUUCACUAAGCUGCAGUCAAUAAUUUAAAAGUUUUUUAGUAGGAA